rnacentral:rRNA from 1 species
GAUGAACGCUGGCGGCGUGCCUAAUACAUGCAAGUCGAGCGAACGGACGAGAAGCUUGCUUCUCUGAUGUUAGCGGCGGACGGGUGAGUAACACGUGGAUAACCUACCUAUAAGACUGGGAUAACGUCGGGAAACCGGAGCUAAUACCGGAUGAUAUUUUGAACCGCAUGGUUCAAAAGUGAAAGACGGUAUUGCUGUCACUUAUAGAUGGAUCCGCGCUGCAUUAGCUAGUUGGUAAGGUAACGGCUUACCAAGGCAACGAUGCAUAGCCGACCUGAGAGGGUGAUCGGCCACACUGGAACUGAGACACGGUCCAGACUCCUACGGGAGGCAGCAGUAGGGAAUCUUCCGCAAUGGGCGAAAGCCUGACGGAGCAACGCCGCGUGAGUGAUGAAGGUCUUCGGAUCGUAAAACUCUGUUAUUAGGGAAGAACAUAUGUGUAAGUAACUGUGCACAUCUUGACGGUACCUAAUCAGAAAGCUACGGCUAACUACGUG